GACUUUUUGGCCACAGGCAUUCUGAAGCUGCAACAGCUGUGAGAAGGCAUUGCAGACACUGGAACAUCCUGCUUUGGGCCACAUUCACUGAGGAUGGCAUAGGCUUCACUGAGGGCAGCAAAACGAAGACUGACUGAAUCAACCUCCAGUAUCUGAUCCCCCCGACUUGAUAAAAGGAAGCAAGGAUGUGACAUAACAACCCCAGAAUCCACGGUUCCAUCUGCAUUGACCUUGGUGAGACGCUGGAGGAGGACCUGGGAGUGAGUCCGCCAAAUGCUACUACCCCAAGGACAGUCCUACAAGAUCGCAGCUGACCAUAAGAGGACACUGGCCCCAAACUACAAAGUAGUAGCUGAAUCUCCACCGGCACCUUGUAGGUCAACGAUGCUGGUGGCGGACGUUGUUAACCCGGGCCACGACCGAUCCGGUAUGGAAUUCUUUGGAUGAAGACUCAUAUUUGUUUGGCAAAGUUUGACGCAACCCUCUGCAUUUAUCCGGGCUGGGGACCGGCCUACAGUUUACACUGGCUUGUGGCCCCCAUAGGGCUGCAUUUACAGUGAAUACAAUAUGAACCAAAAACAUGAGCAAUGUUAAAAUGACGUUUCAUGUGGAAAUCAUGGCAACACAUAAAUUAAACAAUGAAAGAUUUGAACAGUUUGAUGUAAGUGUUGCAUUCCUCACGUCAAGCCACUAAAAAUCCUACCACUGCUAAAAAAACUAGACUGUGCAAUUUCUGGAAACAUUCAGUGUGAAUGCUAAAAUGCUGAAUCAAAUCAUGUGGGAUGGUAUUGAAUCAUAUUGAAUGAUUUAGAAUGAUGUUGAAUAAUAUAAUAUGAUAUGGAAUAAUGUGGAAUGAUAUGGAAUGAAGUGAAAUGAGCUGAACAGUUUGAUGUUAGAAUGGUUGGUUCCUGUGGAGAGAUUGUUUAGAGCGUGUUGAGAGGCUGUGAUCUGAACAAUCUCCCAUACGCCCUCCUCAUGAGAAAAAGAAACCAGCGUCUUCAUUCCUUUUGUGUCUAUUUUUUAUAAUGUUGGGUAAGAUAAAUCCAACAUUAAAUUGGUCCUUCGAGCCGGAUGUCAACACACCCGAGGAUUCCAGUUGUGGAGCCGACUUCCAGUUAAGAGACCAUGGCCACGGCAAGUAAGACCCUUUACGGGACUGGUCUUCGUUCUCCUCAACUGGGAUCUGAAGGUUGACGACAAUCCACAGGAUUGAAGACGACUUUGGUGAGUUAAAUUUAAAAAAACAAAUUCAGAAAAAGGAUUAAAGAGUGAGUGAAUUGCGCGACGAAGAAGUCUGCGGCAGAAUAAACCUUGUGUAAUACUAGUCACUGGCAAGUGGUAAGAAGGAUGGCGGAGUCCGACAAAUUCCGCGAGGACGGCGGAGUCCUGUACGUACAUAAAUUCCGUGUUUCUGUGUUUCCGUGUUUUCGUGUGUUUAUAAAACGUUACUAAUAUCGUGUGAAUGUGUAAAAGUAUGAAUGUAUAAGACUGGAUUGUAAGUGACAACUGGGUUUGGAAGCAGAGGCAAGAAUUCUCCGCCCCGACUGGGGUAGAAGCUUGAGAAUUACCAAAACUCAGACAUUUAUUGUCACCCUGUCAUUUUUGAAUAAAGUCAGUAUUUAGGUCACUCUAGGUGCAAAUAAACUGACUUCCAAAUUUACAAAAAUGGGAAUAAAUAACAGUAAACCGGAUCCAAAAAUAGACCUAACGUGUAAAGAUUGGAAAUAUGUUCAACUACAAAACCAUUCCAAAAUAGAACAUUUAAACACGUGGAUAACCAAAUACGGUUUCGCUGGUCAGCUAAAUUCGCAAAAAAUAGUUCAACUUCGAAACGAAAUAAAGUGUCGACACAAAAAUGAUAUAUCACAAACACAAAAAGAUGGAUUUGACGACUUACUAUUCUGGUUAAACAUGGCGUCUAAAAGAGAAAAAGGAAGUGACAAAAAGAAACACUUAACAAAUGAACAAAAAGAACAGGAAGGUAGGCAUAAAAAUAUGUUGUUUCAAAGACAGGAAGAUGACGAGACAGGACCAAUAAUAAGAAUUAGCGAGAAAAAGAUGAUUGAAGAAAGGUGUAAAAAAAAUGAGGGAACAAAAGCAUCAGCACCCUUGUACCCGGUUUUGCCACCUCAUGAACUUCCUCCAACUCAAGAGUCAGAAACUCAAAGAAUUUUACGAUCAGGAGGGGUACAAAUGAAUUGGUCUAAAACUAUGGUAGAAACAUUUUCUCCCAUUCCCAAAAUAACAAAUAUAACCUCAGACGAGGGAGACAUGGAUUUAUAUCCAAUGAUUGAGGUGGCAAAUCCAAAUGUACAAGAGGAUCACAAAGAAACUAUUUUGGUCUAUAGGACCUGGACUAAUGAGGAUGUGAAAAAGGCCGUCACACACCUUAUCAACAACAGUUAAAAAAUGCUUUACAUGCGAAUUCGAAAGAACACAUUAACAGAUGGGUAGAUAAACAUUGGAUAAACCUAGCAACUGGCCCUCUGGAGGAAUAUGUUAAUCACGCCCUCCACGCAGAAAGAGUGUUAGACAAAAAGAAAAAAAAGAAGAUAGAUGUCUUCCUCGACGAAGAAGCAGAAAUGUACUAUCAAGGCAGAGAGAGAGAUAAUUUUAGAGGACGCGGCAGAGACCGUGGGACAGUAAGAUAUGGUAGAAAUCGAAAUUAUUAUGAUAAUACCAUCUGUUGGUGCUGUGGAAACAAAGGCCACAUUGCACGUGACUGCCCUAAAAAAAAGAAAAGAGAAUACGGACAAACUACCGCAUGACUAAGCCAGCCUGCUUCCCAACUCAACAAAUCCUUUUGUGUAAACAUUACAGAGAAUGAGGAGGUGGAUUUCAAUUUACAGGACAAACUAUGCAGAAAUUGUUGCACCAUUGUCAAAAUUAAUGUAUGAAGACAACCUUAAAAUGACAUCACCUGUUUAAUGGAGUACAGAGGCAGAAAAGGCCUUCUGUGACAUUAAACAACAUUUGGUGUCCAGUGCUGCGCUAGGCCUUCCAAAUUUAAUGAUAAAACAUUCAUUCAAAUGGUAGAUUGUAAAAACUAUUACAUGACCUCCGUACUUACACAACAAUACGGUGAUAAGCUAAGACCAUGGGCUUAUUUUUCGACUAAAUUGGACAGCGUGACGUGUGCAUUACCGCAUUGUGUCAGAGCAGUUGUGGCAGCCUUGACGGCAGUAGAGAGCAGUUCCACACUUGUGUUAUUUCAUCCAUUAACUCUUAAGGUCCCACAUACAGUGUCUGCUCUCCUAUUGCAAACGAAUAUGGCGUUUUUAUCACCUGCAAGACAUUUAUCUUGCAUGGCCAUCUUGAUGUCACAACCACAUUUGACUGUUGAGCGAUGCACAACCUUAAAUCCAGCCACACUAAUACCCUUACUUGAUGAAGGCACGCAGCAUGAUUGUCAGGAAUUGGCGGAACAAGCUGCUGAAUUAGUAGCAUUAAUCGAGGCAUGCAAACUAAUGAUAAAUAAAGAUGGUACAAUCUAUACUGAUAGCCAAUAUGAGUAUUCCACAACAAGAACGCAAUUAUUGGGAAAAACAAAGUGCAAAACUAUAAAAUGAAAUUUACAUUAGCACAGAAAAUAAAAAAAAAUAAAAAAAAAAAUAAAAAAAAGAAAAAACUAUUCAAAUGGGCUGCUAUAUUGAGCCAUGCUGUGUCACAUGUCUCAACCGGAGGGAUGGUGGCACAGAUAGAUUGACACUUUACAGCCCUAAAAAAAAUAGCAGAAAGAAACACAUGGGUUCAUUUAACACACUGUAAAAGAGUCAUUUCAGCUGAGUACUCAAAUAGGGAAGGUGAGCAAAAGUCUGAUAACGGAGCGGGAGCAGAUGUGUAGAUUCUGAAAACGCUUGCUGGUCAGUGAAGAAAAAAGACACCAACCCUUUUAGUGAGAACUCAGCAGAAAGGCACACCCACGUUGGUUAUGAGAUUUGAUAGGUUGUUACGUAGCAACUUUGGCUACUAUGGUGUUGGUUUUGUUUAUGUGGUACAUGGGACGUCCCACCCUAAAUGAUACAACCAAUUUUUUAGAUAGAAAAUCACCUACCAACUGGACCAAUAUGACGAACCCAAUAAUAAAAAUUUUGAAUCAUUAACUCGUAUCAAAAGGAGUACAGCUGAUGAUCAGAACUGUGGGCAUGGCCUCCAAACGCGGCAAAAUGGUUUAAUAAUUUGUGCCCCCCAAAAUCAAGCUGCUUUAAUCAAGCUGCUUUAAUCAUAAUUCCAUAUGCGGCUCUCAACAAUGAUGCUCAAGAGAAUGGGCAGAAUUGGGGAUUUGGAUAUAUAUAAAAAUGAUUCUACAGUUAAAAAAAAAAAAAUCGAAAUGAAGUGACUGUAAAAUGAUAUGAGAAUUUGUGCAAAUACAUGAUAAACAGGAGGGAAAUGUUAAAUAUAUUGUAGAAGUUAUAAUUUAUUUGCUUAGCUUGCAUUAGUAUUAUGGACGAUUUUAGAUGUCUCGCCUUCAAAAAGAUGACUCAGCAUCAUCCGAUGGAAGGGCGCCUGGACCAAGGACGUGAUCGGAUGUGGUCGGGGACGUGACAGGUGUUGGUCCAAUGUUUUGUGUUGUGUCUUAUUGCUUAGAACAUUAUGUCUGGGAAAAACCCUCCUAUUUUCAAAUAUCCUUAGUGUGUUGUGUCUUGUAGCUUAGUACGUUAUGUCUUGUAAACUUAGAAACCUCCCUAUUUUCAAAUAAAUGCAGGAGCGACGGGAGAGAUUGUUUA